UUCGGGAGUCUAUCUGAUUUUUUUAACCUUCUUCCUUCUUUUUUUUUAUCAACGCAGCUCUUGCUUCUUCGGGUUAGAUCCCGAUUGAAACCCUAUAAUUCUCACCUCCGCGAUUUCUAUAUUCGAUUGCUUAUUGAUAUACUUUGAAGAUUUCAAUCGGAUGUUUUGCAAACCCAGUAAAUGAGUUAGUUGAAUCCAAUCUCGGAUCUUGUUGGUUGGUAUUUCCUUAUGUAAUAAAAGUAUAAUCAUUCAAAACAAAAGCAAGAUAAGUUCGAUUUUGAUUUCCUUUACAUAAAUUACAAAUUUCUGUAGACUUCCUCAUACACUAACAUAUGUUCUUUCCAUGUUUACAACUCUUGUGUAGAUAGAUGGACUUAUAACAUCAACAAUUACAGUCAACUAAAAGCAAACACAGAUGACGUCUUACACGGUUGCCGGACAGGACAGAAACAAAUGGGGAGAGGGUUAAAUACGGAUCAUCAGACAAAGAAUCUAUCCUACUGACAAUGGUUUGAGUGAUGAAAGACAUUUUGAAACGAUGGUUCGUUGGCUUGAAUUGACCAGUGGCGAUACUCAAACCAAAGUUCUCGACAGUUUUCCAUUGCCCAGCGACGACCUUGUUUUCAAAACGAUUGAUCUAAUCUUCUUUGACCGAAGCGUGAAUCUUCGUUCCCUGAUUAAAGAAGGUCUUCCAUGAAUGAAGAACCCUCACUUGCACCUUCCAAGAAGUCUUGUAAGUCUUCACCUCUCGGAGGUAAGCGUAAGAUGCAGCUAUUGGUUUCUUGUUCUAAUGACUUGUAUGCUUGAGAGAUGAUUGUUGCUGAUUGUCGCUUGAUGAGUUAUGAAUGUGUUUGAUUAUUUAUAGUGGUCUAGUAGUUUAGGGUAUCGUAUAGGAUUGGUUUUGAUUGGGUCGUUGAUGAUUGCGAGAUUUUUGGUUAUGAUUAGGAUUAAAUUAUGAAUCUGAUUGAAUUUUCAAUCAAUGUUAGAUUGAUACUCUGGCAAUUGAAAAUGAUGUAGAGAGAUUUGAGGGCGAGAUUGAUUGAGUUAAUAUUGUGUGAAUAGUUACCAAAAAUUCCUUUGGAAUAUUCUUCAGAUUGAUUGUCGAGCCUAAUAAUUUUGGGCUAAUAGACAAUUAAAAAAUUCUUUGCAA